rnacentral:lncRNA from 1 species
AUGGCGGGCGGCUCCUCCGCCGCCUUCCCGGUGCUUUACCGGAGCCUCCCGGAGCCGCCCCGAGCCCGCCCCGGGCCCGCCCCGGGUCCGCUCCCCCCGUCCCCCCCCCCCCCCCCCCUCACCCCCCCCCCCCCCUCCACGGGGAGCGUUUUCCCCGGGCCCCCCCCCCCCCCAAACCCUCCCCACCCCGCCCCGGUCCCGGUGUUGCGCGCUCUGCGCCCUCCCCGCCGCCUCUCCCGGUGCCGCCCCGGUAGCGGCGAUUGGGUGGCGGAGGGACAGAGGGACACCGGGAGGGACAGAGGGACAGCGGGAGGGACGGACGGACGGGCACCGGGACGGACAGACGGACAGGGGCACGGACAGACGGGCAGCGGGAGGGGCAGACGGACAGGGGCGCAGCGCGCAUGGAGAGGGGCGCAGCGCAAGAGUGGAGAGGUUGGGGGGGGGACGGGGGGGGGGCGCUGGGACGGACAGACGGACAGACGGACGGACAGACGGACGGACACACGGAUGGAUGGAUGGACGGACAGACGGAUGGAGGGGACAGACAGAGGGACAGGCGCAGCCACCGGGGCAGGCGCAGAGGGACGGGGAUGGAGGGGAGCGCAGGGGCGGGGGGGGGACAGACGGACACCAGGACGGACACACGGACAGGGCACAACGUGGAAAUGGGGACGGACAGACGGACACCGGGACAGGGGGAUGUGUGGGGAUGGAGGCACGUGGGGACAGACGGACACGCUGGGACACACGGACGGUGGGGCACGGGUGGGGGGACACGGGGGUGGUGGGGCGCACGGACAUGGGGACGCAUGGAUAGAGGGACACACGGACAUGGGGACACACGGAUGGUGGGACACAGGGACAGCAGGACAGAUGGACAGCAGGACAUGUGUGUGGUGGGACACACGGACAGCAGGACACACGGACAGUGGGACACAGGGACAACAGGACACACGGACACAUGGCACAGACACACGCCCACACUGGGACGGCCACCCGGACGUGGCCAUCGGGACCCCCCAGGACAGACCCACGGCCACCCCCUCAGAGCACGUGGCCAGGACGGACAGACGGACACGGGGACAGACACCCGGACAAGGACAGGCCCCAGCAGCCGGGUGCACAGAGGGCACGGCACGAGCAAAGUCCCCACGUGCUGCGCCCCGGGCCCGCUGCCCACGGGGGCAAAUUCCCCUGGGGCAUCGAUCUCUGCCCCCAACCCCCCCCCCAGCCCCCACGGGGACCGUCCCUGCCUGCGGAGGUGGCCCCGUGCCCCCCCCCCCGUCCCCAUUGUCCCCUGUACCUGCAGGGGGGACGUGGUGUGGUGGCACCCCCAGGGUGGUUGCGUCCCCAAAUUUGGUGGCCCAGAAUGGGACGUUGGCAGGGAGGGGGUGGCAGCAUGAAAAAAAAAAAAAAAAAAGUGACAGAUUUAGGGACAAGGAGGGGACGAGAGAUGCCCUGCACCCAGUGCCACCCCCCCAUGGGUUGGGGACACCGGGGCACUGCCAUGUGGCAGCCCCUCUGGGUGGGCACGGGGCCACGUCCCCGGUGUCCCCAGUGCUGGGGGGUGAUUUUGGGGCUGUCCCCAAGCCUGCAGGGGACACGGCGUGGACAGUGACCCACUCCAGGCAGGGUGGAACCCCCCCUUGGCAAGGUGUGACACCCCCCAGAGCGGUGACGGGGACGUGGGUGACCUCUGCUCUGUGCCAUCGGCCACCCCGGGGGGCUGGGAGGGGACGAGGACAACCCCGAGCUUCGCCCCCGUGCUUGGAGAGAUGA